AAUUUUAUCUCUCGGCUACCUGUUGAAACAAAGAAGACACUUCAUCAACGCUUGUUUGUUUGGCUGAGAGCUGGGGAGGUAAUGAAAAUGGUUAUGGUUUGGCUCUUUGUUCCAAGGAUGUUCCUGCAGAUCAAUUUCCAGAAAGUGCGAGCAAUGUCCAUUUUGAGUUUUACUCUGAUCCAAAGAAAGAAGAUGAAAAGACACCAGAUAUUUUGAAAACUGAGACUCCUAGUUCAUCCUUGAUAGUUGUCCAUUUGGAAGGUAUCCAUAAGCUUUCUGAAAGUCCAGGAGAGUCAUGGAAAAGUUCUAAAAA